AUGGCGACGCGGAUCUCGCCAAUGGCCGCGGUGAUGGCACUGCUGCUGGCCUCACUGGUUGCGCUAUCCUCGGCGCACGACGGACACCACCACGCGCCGGUUGAAGCGCCGACACCACCAUGGUCACCAGGCUCCAGCGCGAGCCCUAGUCACCAUCAUCGUCAUCAUCAUGGUCCGGCGUCGGCCCCUGCUCCUGCUCACGGUCACCACCAUCAUGGUUACCACACUCCAGCACUGAGCCCUAGUCACCAUCAUCGUCAUUAUGCUCCAUCGCCGAGCCCUAGUCACCAUAAUCAUCAUCAACAUGGUCCGUCACCGGCGCCUGCUCCAGCUCACGAUGCUCACCACGCUCCAGCGCCGAGCGCUAGUCACCAUCAUCAUCAUGGGCCGUCAUCGGCUCCUGCUCCCGCUCACGGUGACCACCACCAUGGUCAUGACGCUCCAGCGCCGAGCCCUAAUCAGCAUCAUCAUCAUCACCAUGGUCCGUCGUCAGCGCCUACUCCCGCUCACAAUGGUCACCAUGCUCCGGCGCCGAGCCCUACUCACCAUCAACAUCUUCACCAUGGUCCGUCGUCAGCGCCUGCUCCCGCUCACAAUGGUCACCACGCUCAAGCGCCGAGCCCUACUCACCAUCAUCGUCAUCACCAUGGUCCAGCAUCGGCGCCUGCUCCCGCUCACGGCGACCACCGCCAUGGUCACCACGCUCCACCGCCGUCGCCUAUCCACGUCGCCCCAGCUCCUGCACCCAGCCAGAACUCCCAAGCGCCGUCAGCAGCCUCUGGAGACUACUACCACUCCCCAGCUCCAGCGCCUGGUCCGGCAAGUUCUUCUUUCCGCCACACAGUCACCGGCGGAGUUGGUCUAGUCGCCGCGGCUGCAGUGUCCGCCGUUUUGCUUCUUCUUUAG
rnacentral:rRNA from 1 species